rnacentral:rRNA from 1 species
UACGUAGGGCGCAAGCGUUGUCCGGAAUUAUUGGGCGUAAAGAGCUCGUAGGCGGCUUGUCACGUCGGGUGUGAAAGCCCGGGGCUUAACCCCGGGUCUGCAUUCGAUACGGGCAGGCUAGAGUGUGGUAGGGGAGAUCGGAAUUCCUGGUGUAGCGGUGAAAUGCGCAGAUAUCAGGAGGAACACCGGUGGCGAAGGCGGGUCUCUGGGCCGUAACUGACGCUGAGGAGCGAAAGCGUGGGGAGCGAACAGG